AUGAGUCUGUGUUUGCCAUCAAAGUUGUAUUUGCCUUCUGCCCAUUUACUUUGUGAACUGUGCACACAAGAAACCAAAUGUGUCCCUGGAAGAGGGAGAAGAAGGAGUCAAUGGGAAAGUAUUAAAAUGACAAUGUAUUGUGCCAGACACAGUCCCUCACAACAAACCUUCCUACCUAACCACACAUGCCUUCUUGGAGCAUGGGAAUGGGUGCUGAUUGAUCAUACAUGAUUGCCUAGUUGGAAUGGCACCACCUAGUUGGACCGGCACCUACUCAGUUAAGUUUUCCUUAGCUUUGCCCUUUGCAGAACUGGAAGCUCAUUUAUGGAUGUAGUUUACCAUGAACUCUCAAAAAAGGAGGGAAAGUUCUUUCCUUAACAUACAACAGAUAAUUUAGAAUCCAAACCCAUCAUUUUCCCUACUAAUCAGAGGCUGGACACAGUAUCUCUUUGAACUUUUUACUCUUCCACAGAGUUUAGUCUUCUGUAAUGCAUAGUCUACUUUCAGGUAACUAUAUUACAGAUGAUUAAUGGACAUCUAUUCCUGGUGAAAUAACGUUUCCCACAGCUUCAUUAAUGGUAAAGAUAAGACCAGUUGUAUCCUUUAUUAAGCUAAAAAUAUGUCAAGGCUAUCACACUUUAUUCAUCAUUUGCAUAGCCUAUUGAUAGUUCACAACUAAAGAAUCAUGCACAAAGAUAGUAACAUCAUGAUUCAGUGCUAAUUAACUGCUUUUGCUGGAAAUCUUCUUGUUAAUAUUAUCAUGGCAUGCUUGAACAUUUUGAUUUUGAUUUUAUAAGUUUUGUUUCAUAUAGUUUCAAUUAAUCCAUUAUUUUUGCUUAUUAUUGGUACUAGAUAAACAAAGAUGAGUCUUUAGCAUCUUACAAUGCAAAUAUGUCUUUAAGUACAGUAUAAAAUUAGUAUCAGUCUAAACAUAUACAUGAAAUCAUUCAGAUUAAUCAUUAUUACUUAAAAUUAGCUACAUAUUUUUAUACAAGUAAGAAAUCCAAAUUAGAAUCUACCCUGUGUUGGGAACAUUAUUUCUUUUAAAAAUGCUUAGUUUAUGUACCCAGACUUAGCACCAAUAUAGUAAAUAUGGUGUUUAGUUCACCUACCUAAUCAAAUAGUUGACACAUUUUUCCUUUUGAAAUUAAAGGCAUUAUUUUUUUUUAAGUUGAUGUUUUAAACAGUCUAUGAUUUGUCUGAUCUUAGAAGCUAGGCAGGAUCAGGCAUGGUUAGUACUUGGAUGGAAGACUGCCUGGGAAUACCUGUUGUUACAGUCUUUGAGGCUCCUGGGUGGCUCAGUUGGCGUUGAGCCUCUGGGCUGGGGUCAUGAUCCUGGAGUCCUGGGAUCAAGCCUGUUUUUCCUUCUCCCCACUGGUUGAGCUGUCUCUCACUAUCUCUCACUAUCUCAAGUAAAUCAGUAAAAUCUUAGAAAAGAAAUGAUGUAAAUAAUCUCUAAAAAUUAUUUGCAUAGAAUUCCAAACAGUUGUGAUAAAUAAGUGUGUUGCCCAGUGUGUGUUCUAUGUGUGGUGGAUAAUUGUUUACUCCAUCAUCCAUAGCUUAGUGAAAGGCCCAUUGUGGUGAAGAAAAUGAUGUGUCUUUGCUAUUUUUAUUUUUAUUUUUUUUUAAAGAUUUUACUUAUUUAUUUGACAGACAGAGAUCACAAGUAGGCAGAGAGGCAGACAGAGAGAAAGGAGGAAACACACUCCCCAUGAAGCAGAGAGCCUGACAUAGGACUAGAUCCCAGGACCCUGGGAUCAUGACUCGAGCCGAAGGCAGAGGUUUUAACCCACUGAGCCACGCAGGUCCCCCUUUGCUAUUUUUAGCUCAUCUCCUAUUUUCAUUUUGAUGGAGUGUUGAUAAGAUUAGUGUUCCACUGAUAACCUUUUGGUUUCACGGCAGAUGCACUGAUAACAGAAUGUUAGGGAUCUCAGUGGCAUAUUUGAGUCUUCAGAGUAGAAAACUUCCUCAACUGCUUUAAAUGUCAUAUACUUCCAAGCUACUCAUAAACCCUUAAAAUUAAACCACAAAUCUGUUCCCCCAAAUUAUUCUAUUGUGAGGUAUUCUAGCAGCCUGAGAAAACCUUAAGUGUCCUCUGAGUGAUAAGAAAUAUAAGGAUAAUUUUUGUCAUCCCACAUUCCAAGGAAGAUAAUUGUUGUUCCACUGCCAGCAAUACUUAAGGGUCUCAGGUACUAUUAUUACUUCCAAUAUCCCAGAGAUGUAAUAUAUUAAGUGGUUAAGUGAGUUGUUUCUUAGCUAUUGAUGCCAAAUUAUAUUUAGUAAGGGUUAUAGCAAAGACUAUAAUAAAAUUUAGGUCAUCUAAGAAUUUAAAAAUGAAAAAAAAACCCAUAAAAGUAAACACACAUUUACUACUUGACCUAGCAAUUUAACUCACACAUAUUUAUCCAAACUAAAUGGAAACACAUAUGCACACAAAAGACUCACAUCGAAGUUCAUAGCAGUAUUCUUCACAGUAGCUAAAACUUGGUAAUGACCCAAAUGCCAAUCAACAGGUUAAUGGGCAAACAAAGUGUAAUAAGUCCAAUACAUUGGAAUACUAAUCAGCAAUAGAAAAUAAUGAACUGCCAAUAAAUUCAAAAGCAUUUAAAACCAUAUUAUGUUGGGUAAAACAAGCCAGGCACAAUGUGGUGUUCAAAUACAUUUAUAUGACAUGGUGGAAAAGGAAAUUAAUAUACAGUGUCAGAAAAACCAUCAGUUUUACUUGGGACUAGGGGAAAAGAGCAUGAGGACAUUUUAAGAAGUUAUAAAAAUGCUUUCUAUCAUAAUCAAGGUGGUAAAAACCAUGGUAUAUGUAUUUAUCAAAACUCAUUAAAAAGGCAUGCUUAAAAUGGAUGUGGUAUUUUAACAUGUCAAUUAUACAUCAAAAAUUUGACUAAAAUUUCCCCAAAGUACUAAUAUGCUUUCAUGGCUUACUGUGAUAUGCUUCACUAUCUCAUAACUUUGUACAUAGUCUUUUACUUUCAUCCAGUGAUUCAGAAUGGUGUGAAAAGUUAUUCUAAUGUUGCAAUUUUUUGGCAUCUUAUUCCCAACAUAAGUUUUAAUUAUCAUAAAUAGGUGAUGAAAGUCACAAAAAUAGGAAUAAAGAUGUUCAGGCCAAUUCAUUAUUUCCACUUGCAUAAUAAUAAUACAGUAUUAAUUUUAAAACAGUCUUUUCUUAAUAAUAACAUAGUUGGAGUGAAACCCACUGUAUUCUUCUGUCACCAUAUAGUGUAAUCUUUUUGAUAUGUUUUAUAGGUUACUUAAUUUGACUGCUGUAAGUGUUUGAGGAAGGUUCCUGCCUAUAAAGUGGAAUUUCACCAAUUCGAAACAUUUUUAGAAUAAUCUCAAUUAGAAUUUUUUCAAUAUCUGCUUAGCAAUUGCAUUCUCAUAAGAAGGGGUAUAUUUUAUUUUAGUCAGCGAGUCAACAAGUAUUAAUUCGGCUCUCAUAGGAUGUCUUCUAUUGCACUAAGCAAAUUUAUUACUUCCUUACAAGUACCUAUGAAGCAUGGGGUUGUUUUCCCAGAGUUCCUGUAAAACAUCUUUCAUGGUAUUGAUCAAAUAAGGAUGAAAGAAAAGGGAAGAAAUUGUCAUUUCUUUGUAAAUUUUUUCCUUUUUAUGGUGUAGUAUAUGCUUUCAUAGAAAUGUCUCCCACUUGAUUAAGGAAGACAAAUUUUAUUGUGAAUAUUAUCAUCCAUAGAUCAGAAAUUGACACUAACUUUAAAUACAAAACUCUUUGAGAAAGGUUUCUGCUGUCUAUGUGUGUAUCCCCAUGAACAAAUAAAGGGGUGGAAAAUGAGGUAGUGAGGCAAAUGAAAAUCUCUUUGGGUUUAUUUAUUUCAUAUGAGCUGUCUAAGUUCAAGCUCCUUUCCAAUGCUAAAUCCUACAUUACAAUUUUCAAAUUAUGAACUGGCAACUUCCCUGAGCCUUGAUCCUUUGAUUCUUCCUUGUGACAAUAGUCAAUUCCUCAUUCGUCCAUCAAUCACCACCUACACGCCCAGACCAAAAAUUAAUUUCAGACUACCCCAGAGAAUGUCUUCAAUGUUAGCUACUUUAUAAAUUAAUGUAAUGAGACAUGUAACAGUGUUUUCUGGAAGCUCACGUGCUGGUUUGGGAAACAAAAGUGCAAUCAUUCAGUGAGUUGCCCACAAUACUCUAAGAUUUUACAAGCGAUUUUUUUCUUAAAUCAGAAAUCAUUGAUUGUUUUCUGAAAUCCUAAAUGCAGUUUUAUCCAAAUUAUAGCUUUUCAGUUUUUCUUCCAAGUAUCCAGUCAGAAAGUGAUAUAAGGGUAUACUUGAAAAUGCCCCCCCCAAAAGUGUUACUGGUAUGGUUGUGCUUCUCUAAAGUAUUCAAUCAUUAAACUGGAAAAUGAUACUAGUGAGAAGAUGCAAUAACUAGUCAGUGGGUAUUAUUUUUUUUUUAA
ensembl:lincRNA